CGUGGGAAUCUACCUUGUAGUGGGGAAUAGCCUUUCGAAAGAGAGGGUAAUACCGCAUGUUUCCAAAUUUAUUUGGAAAAAGACUUCGGUCGCUAUAAGAGGAGCCCGCGUCCUAUCAGGUAGUUGGUGGGGUAAUAGCCUACCAAGCCAAUGACGGGUAGCCGGUGUGAGAGCACGACCGGCCACAAUGUCACUGAAACACGGGGCCUACACCUACGGGUGGCAGCAACCGGGAAUAUUGCGCAAUGGGCGAAAGCCUGACGCAGCGACACCGCGUGUGGGAAGAAGCUUUUCGGAGUGUAAACCACUGUGGCAAGGGAAGAAUUUUUGACGGUACCUUGCUAGAAAGCACCUGCUAACUACGUGCCAGAAGCCUCGGUAAUACGUAGGGUGCAAGCGUUAUCCGGAUUUAUUGGGCGUAAAGAGUUCCGCAGGCGUCUUUACAAGUUUCUUGUUUAAGCCUGAGGCUCAACUUCAGAAAAGCAAGAAAAACUGUAAAGAUUGAGUUUGUUUGGGGAAGCUGGAAUUCUCGGUGGAGGGGUGAAAUCCGUAGAUAUCGAGAGGAACACCAAUCGCGAAGGCAAGCUUCUAAAACAAUACUGACGCUAAGGGACGAAAGCUUGGGUAGCAAAAGGGAUUAGAGACCCCUGUAGUCCAAGCCGUAAACUUUCCUCGCUAGUUGCCUGGUUAAUAAUGCAU
rnacentral:rRNA from 1 species